rnacentral:rRNA from 1 species
GCAAGUCGAGCGCGAAAAGUCUUCGGACCUAGUAGAGCGGCGCACGGGUGAGUAACACGUCAGUAAUCUGCCUUUCAGUCUGGGAUAACAGUGCGAAAGCGCUGCUAAUACCGGAUAAGACCACAAGGCGUUGGCCAGGUGGGAAAAGGGUGGGAUCUCUUCGGAGACCAUCUGCUGAAAGAUGAGCUCGCGGCCCAUUAGGUAGUUGGCGGGGUAACGGCCCACCAAGCCGAAGAUGGGUAGCUGGUCUGAGAGGACGAUC